GACGAACGCUGGCGGCGUGCUUAACACAUGCAAGUCGAACGAAGUGGCGAACGGGUGAGUAACGCGUAAUCAACCUGCCCUUCAGAGGGGGACAACAGUUGGAAACGACUGCUAAUACCGCAUACUGAAGGAGGGGAUUGCGUCUGAUUAGCUAGUUGGAGGGGUAACGGCCCACCAAGGCGAUGAUCAGUAGGCGGUCUGGGGAGGUUGACGGCCACAUUGGGACUGGGACACGGCCCAAGCUCCUACCGGGGGGAGGAAUGGGGGAACUUCCGCAAUGGACGGAAGUCUGGAGGGGCAACGCCGCGUUAGUGAUGGCGGCCUUCGGGUUGUAAAACUCUUUUAAUCGGGGCGCGGUACCGGAAUAGAAAGCCACGGCUAACUACGUGCCAGCAGCCGCGGUAAUAC
rnacentral:rRNA from 1 species